UGACCGCUGGCGGCGUGCCUAACACAUGCAAGUCGAACGGAGUCGUUUUGGAAAUCUCUUCGGAGAUGGAAUUCUCGACUUAGUGGCGGACGGGUGAGUAACGCGUGAGCAAUCUGCCUUUAAGAGGGGGAUAACAGUCGGAAACGGCUGCUAAUACCGCAUAAAGCAUUAAAUUCGCAUGUUUUUGAUGCCAAAGGAGCAAUCCGCUUUUAGAUGAGCUCGCGUCUGAUUAGCUAGUUGGCGGGGUAACGGCCCACCAAGGCGACGAUCAGUAGCCGGACUGAGAGGUUGAACGGCCACAUUGGGACUGAGACACGGCCCAGACUCCUACGGGAGGCAGCAGUGGGGAAUAUUGCGCAAUGGGGGAAACCCUGACGCAGCAACGCCGCGUGAUUGAAGAAGGCCUUCGGGGUGUAAAGAUCUUUAAUCAGGGACGAAACAAAUGACGGUACCUGAAGAAUAAGCUCCGGCUAACUACGUG
rnacentral:rRNA from 1 species